CCAGCAGCCGCGGUAAUACAGAGGGUGCAAGCGUUAAUCGGAAUUACUGGGCGUAAAGCGAGCGUAGGUGGCUUGAUAAGUCAGAUGUGAAAUCCCCGGGCUUAACCUGGGAACUGCAUCUGAAACUGUUAGGCUAGAGUAGGUGAGAGGGAAGUAGAAUUUCAGGUGUAGCGGUGAAAUGCGUAGAGAUCUGAAGGAAUACCGAUGGCGAAGGCAGCUUCCUGGCAUCAUACUGACACUGAGGCUCGAAAGCGUGGGUAGCAAACAGGAUUAGAUACCCUGGUAGUCCACGCCGUAAACGAUGUCUACUAGUCGUUGGGUCCCUUGAGGACUUAGUGACGCAGCUAACGCAAUAAGUAGACCGCCUGGGGAGUACGGCCGCAAGGUUAAAACUCAAAUGAAUUGACGGGGGCCCGCACAAGCGGUGGAGCAUGUGGUUUAAUUCGAUGCAACGCGAAGAACCUUACCUGGUCUUGACAUAUCUAGAAUCCUGCAGAGAUGCGGGAGUGCCUUCGGGAAUUAGAAUACAGGUGCUGCAUGGCUGUCGUCAGCUCGUGUCGUGAGAUGUUGGGUUAAGUCCCGCAACGAGCGCAACCCUUGUCCUUAGUUACCAGCGGGUUAAGCCGGGAACUCUAAGGAUACUGCCAGUGACAAACUGGAGGAAGGCGGGGACGACGUCAAGUCAUCAUGGCCCUUACGACCAGGGCUACACACGUGCUACAAUGGUAGGUACAGAGGGCAGCUACACAGCGAUGUGAUGCGAAUCUCAAAAAGCCUAUCGUAGUCCAGAUUGGAGUCUGCAACUCGACUCCAUGAAGUAGGAAUCGCUAGUAAUCGCGGAUCAGAAUGCCGCGGUGAAUACGUUCCCGGGCCUUGUACACACCGCCCGUCACACCAUGGGAGUUGAUUGCACCAGAAGUGGAUAGCUUAACCUUCGGGGAGGC
rnacentral:rRNA from 1 species